UUGCGAAAUAUAAUUUUAUUUUAAAAUUAUCUACUGAAUUCACAAUAAUAACAAUGGGCCACCAUACAAGAAGAUAUGUCUGGGAAAAUUAAUGUCUUUGAUGUAUUUUAUGACCUUCAGAAUUGUGCAAAAUGUCACCCCAAAACUGCUUGAAAUCUCAUCCCUGGGAUUCUAGAUUUCAAACUUUUUCUGGGGAAACAUGCUCCCGCACCAGAAGGCAUUAGGUUCGCCCCCCUCUCCAAAAAAAAAUAAUAAAGCUCUGACUACGCCACUGGUUAGGCUGCUGGGACUAUGGAACAUGCAACUUUAAAAAACUUUAUUCUGCAAAAUUUGUAAGUGUUCAAUCAAAGUAGAGUUGUUCUUAUCACCCCGGAUUGUGUCCCCAUAUUCAAAUAGAGGUAAAAUUAAGUACUUAUAUAGUACUAGUCUUGUCGUGAGAAGUAUUAAAUGUCUGAUCCUAUAUAGACAACACUAUACCAAGCCUUUGGUUUAUUUUCUUAAUAACAUUGUCAACAUGCUCGUCCCAGGUCAUAUGUUGAUAUAAGGUUAUGCCAAGAUAUUUGACAGAUUCUACUCUCUCAAUAUUAUCAUUAUCUGUCCUAAUUUUAAAACUAGAAACAUCAAUCUUUUUUAAUUUUUGAG